rnacentral:rRNA from 1 species
CCUACGGGGGGCUGCAGUGAGGAAUAUUGGUCAAUGGGCGCGAGCCUGAACCAGCCAAGCCGCGUGAGGGAAGACGGUCCUAUGGGUUGUAAACCUCUUUUGUCGGGGAGCAAAAGCCGCCACGCGUGGCGGUCCGCGUGUAUCCGAAGAAAAAGCAUCGGCUAACUCCGUGCCAGCAGCCGCGGUAAUACGGAGGAUGCGAGCGUUAUCCGGAUUUAUUGGGUUUAAAGGGUGCGCAGGCGGAAGAUCAAGUCAGCGGUAAAAUUGAGGGGCUCAACCUCGUCGAGCCGUUGAAACUGGCUGACUUGAGUGAGUGAGAAGUAUGCGGAAUGCGUGGUGUAGCGGUGAAAUGCAUAGAUAUCACGCAGAACUCCGAUUGCGAAGGCAGCAUACCGGCGCCAAACUGACGCUGAGGCACGAAAGUGUGGGGAUCGAACAGGAUUAGAUACCCGUGUAGUC